rnacentral:lncRNA from 1 species
AGUCUCUAAUAGUUUUGGUCGCCUUUAGGAUUAUACCGUCUUCUCUAUCAACCCUACCGCCUACUCCACUAAGUAGCAAAGGUACAGCACCGCGUACUGCCUGCUUUGUUCCUUGGUCGUGCACUCUUGCACAACCUGAAGUCCUUCACUUUCGGCUAUUUUGAUGAGAAGCUCAUUGACACCGGUCUUACAAAGUUCCUUGGCCUCUACCCUUCAGCCUUAUCUUGAUACUUAGAGUUUGCCUCAGCAUGCUCCACCUUCUCGGCCCCUUUCAUGACCAAACGUUCUCCCUCCAUGAGAACAAGGGAUCGAUGACUUCACGGAAGUCCCGCCUCUACGGUACCAUGGCGUUGUCAUGCCCAUGGCCCUACUAUCCGUCGCCUCACAUCUGCAUCUCUUUCUUCACGAUCGGUAGAUCUGCCUAUAUGGCACUAUGGCACUCCUCCGAGUCCACCUCCAUUCUAACCGAUGCUUGGUUUUUGGAUAACUAAGUCCCUCUGGACUCGUCGUCGCAUCCUCGCCCUUUUCGACCCUCUGCUUCAACACCUUUGUGCUCUCCAAGCAGUUCCCCUUAGUCGAUGGAAAGACAGACUGCAACUCCCAUGCGUGGUCUCUACCAUCAUGUUGCAGGGUUCACACCGAUUCUGUUCUCCUUAGCUUCCUUAGUAGCAACGUUCGCUUACCCAACCUUGUCCUCUAAUUUGUCGGGCUCCCUUAAACGAAUAUGGACUCUGGAGUAGUCCAACUCUCCAACUGCUUCGAUCAUAUCUCUGCAUGAUCAAGUCCCUCCCAUGGGACUCACUGGUACUCGCAUUCGAACUUUUCCCUCGGUAGUACACAACCCUCAUAUGCUGAUAAUCAAGGCUUUCAUCCAAUGCAAAAUUCGAUGCACACACGGAAGACCCGCCUCUACGGUACCAUUGCCUUCACUCCUUAAAUCCAUAGCUCUUCUUGUUGUCGUGUUAUUCAUCGAAGUGGAGCUCCCAGUAGCUCUCGAUCAUACCUCCGUAUGAUAUAGUCCCUCACGGGACUGCAAUCUGUGUGUAUCGCAUUGUCACGAACUAUUCCACCACGAUCCGCUGCACCAUGUCGCCUCCUGGUGACAUCUCCAUUGCAUUCUGAUCAUUGUGGGAUGAACUCGGAUUGCGAUCCCUCUAUGUGUGACCUCUGCCAACACAUUCUCUUCCACCUUUGAUUGUGUUCGCUUCUUUGGCAAUUGAUCUUCAUCCACCCGCUCUUGGGUCACACCUAGAUGAAACACCACUCUAUGACAACAUGUGCGGUCCAUUGAUCUUUGUGAAGUUGUUUUGAGGUACUCCUCAACAUGUGCGGUCCGUUGCACAUGGUUCUCCCUCAGGAGAGUCGGGACUUAUCCCUCCUGAGUAUCUAUCCUGUUAGAGCAACAUCUCUCUUCGUUUCCUUCCCUCUGAAAGUUUCGAAGAUCACCAUCCCCUUGGGCUACUCCGACUUGCUGAACAAACUGUGCAUUAUUCUGCCUCCUGCAAACGCACUUGCUAGAUUGCGACUCUACGUCAAUACAACCCCCGCUGCACCACUCAAGGCCUAGCAACAUGUUAAACUCGCUGCACACUUCAGCCUCCUACGGACGUAUCCUUCUCAUGCCGAAGAGAAAGUUUCAAUGCUCCAUGGCGCCGAGUUUUAGUCGCCUUGGGAUGGUCGCGAGCAUUCCAUCGUCCGCAUACAAGCCCUUGCAUGAGUACCGAAUUCUUCGAAUUAGCAAUUCCCCUCACCUCUGUGAGCUUUGCACAACUCUUUUGGUCGCUGAACAACUCAUUCCACCUUGUAUGGUCUCAUCCUUUACCAAGCGUCUCGCUUGCCUUGAGCACCAUCAAGUAUAGUUGUCAACAUCGAGCCGUAGCUCGAACUCAGCCAUCCCAACCUUUGUGAGCUACGCAUUCUUCUAAGCUUGCUUAUUCUCGUGGUGCCUCUUGCGCGAAGGAUUGGCCAUAUCUCUGAAUGUCAAUCUCAGAUGUCCGCUCCUCCGAGCGACUCCUUUUCCCUACAUCUUCAUGCCCAUUUUCUCCUAAACGAUCGCGCGUGCUGACUGCCCUCAACGCAGCCCAGUUAGGUCCCCACGUUUGCAUGCCAAGUGUUUUUAUAAGUGCUUGUCCUACUAUGAUAUCAUCUGUCACAGAUUUAACUGGUUUUGCCUAAGUCGUGCGACACCCUUGCAUGUCCGUCCGCAAAAGUCGGCCUCCUCAAAACCUCUUAUGGUCCCUUAGGACCUACAAAAGAGAAAACGGGUUAAAGAAAACAUCUCACUCGGGAUCCACAAGCAAACAUUUCCGAAAACACUUCAUAGCCAAUGCAAAUUACAAACACACUUUACAAGCUCUGAAUGGUUGCACAACAAAGGGUCAAAAUAGUCCACUACAGACCGAAUAUCUCUCACAAGUGUCCACAUGACACAACCUUUAUUUACAAGCCAAAAAGGCCACCAAACCCAACUAAAAUAGGGUUGUUAAGCCUUCGAUCGUCCCUCUACAUAUUGUGCAAAGCAUGAACAAACCAAAAGGCACGGACAUACAUAAGCAUUACAUCAAACAUUCUAUUUAGAAUUUUGUCUGUGACAGCGGAUGCAGAGCAGAGCUCUGGGUCGUCACCUCAUCUCUUGUCGUUGCUCUCCCUCCUUAUUUCAACAAGCACUUGCAACCCCAAUGGUGUCGCCAUCCUGUCACGAACGGUCAUCGUGCACCCGUAACAACUUCGUUCAACGAACCAUUCGUCGCUUUUGCAUGCUUGUACAGAGACAUGGCAACAUGAUUUGCCUUGGUUUUAUAUGUUUUUGCUUGGAAGAUGUAAACAACGACAGUUUACAGCGCUAUAGUGCGACCGCUCGUCGCGUCGGGCCGAAUUGCCCCAAAAUGGCUCCGUUUUCGCGUGCCACGGCUUGUUUUCUGCAAACCGCAAUUGCACGCGAAACGUCAACCAUCUCAGCACCCUGGAACCCCCCCGAUGGCACAGGGCUGGAUGGGGCUUCGAUUUAUUAUCAGGUGUUGAACAAUCUUCACAAGUUAGCACGCUAACUUGACGGGAACUUGCCUUUGCGCCUAGCACCCGGUGAGCAGUUGUUUGUGAACUUGCAACUGUUCGUUCUACCUUCUAAAGUCCUUGUUUUCUCCUUCAUCUCUUUUCUCUCUUAUACUCAAGGUGCUCGUUGAAUUACUUGUAAAGUUUCUCUCUUCGCGAGAUGUUGGGACUUGUCCGUCGUUUGUUUUCAAUCUAAUCAACUUUUUGUUUUACAGAUCCUUCGGAACCUGUACGAGGUUGCAACUAGACUGCUCCUUUGCAGACGCAUAUGUUGCAAGGGCACCUCAUGACUUAGGCAAUCCCAACUAAGUCUGAAGAGUUGGCGUAAUGAUGUUUCACGACUUAGGCAACUCCAGCUAAGUCCGUGACUUUACUGCAAGGGUACCUAACGACUUAGACAAUUUCAGCUAAGUCAGUGACAAUCCGUUAUCAUUAAAAACAUAACUAAGAUAUUAAAAUUAUAUUUUUACACAUCGUUUUUAUGCUUCUAUAUGUAAAAUCGACGGCAUCAGAUCAAAUAAAACUAGAUAUUUCACUUUCGUAUAGGGAUUCUAAUAUAAAUUAUUUAAGUUGAGGGAUCGGGGAGCUACAGAGGCGGGAUAAUCUAUAAUUAGCCCAUGCCAUUAUACCUCUGAGGCUGAAAAAAGUUGUUGAACGGGGUUGAUGGAACAUAAACGAGUGGGGGUGGAUGUUACGAGCAUAUCUAGCAUCUUUAUGUGCGUAGAUGUUGGUCUUUGUAUCACUAGUCGGCCAAAGAUUACUCACUCAUGCGCUAAAACUCACCGGUGCCGCCGUCGCUCGCCGCUCUCCUUGUGGUGCACCCCUCGCUGCUGUCUCCGCCUCCAUCGCCUCGACUUCGGUUCCGACCCCGUCGCUGCUGCCUUCAUCUCCUCCCAUGCCCGCCCUCCACCUCGUCAAGAACGCCAUCGCCACCGGGCACGGAGGCGGAGUGCGGAGGGCGGAGGACGGCGUAAGGUGGAGAGGAGGAGGGACAUAGCUCGGAUUUGGGCCCGAAGAUUUAAUUUAUUUUAUUAUUCCCUAAUCCUCAAAGGGAUGGAAGCAUUCGACAGCAAAUAAAUACAUUUGAAGGCGAGGGUUACAAAACCGGACGGUGCACGCCCCUACAAACCCGCAUGUGUCAUUCGGUUUAAUCUGGUUUUUUAGAGAUCCAUUUAGACCGGCCGGAUUUGGAUGCGGUUUGUUUACAUAUAACUAUGCUUCUUGCACGAUCCAUGUAUUAACUCGGCACCUCACGGACUUCUUAUUCUCUUAUGAUCAUCUUCUAAGUUGAGUCGAGAGAAUGGAUAAUUGAAAAAUUUUAUAUUACAAAAUUAUGUUAUUAACGUCGUGGUUAGCCCAAUAUGAUCCGGACCCGUAUGCAUAGGGUUUGACUCUGAAGUGAAAAUGUCAAACUCUUAAUAUGUCAUUUGCAUAAAGACCGAGAUCAUGAAGUGAAAAUGUCAAACUCUUAAUAUGUCAUUUGCAUAAAGACCGAGAUCAAGAGACGUUUUUUUAUUUAUCUUCAAGUUAGUAACUCGAAAUAGAUGAAUAUGAACAUAGAUAGAUCAAAAUAUAUUUUUUUUUUAUUUUUUUUAUAUUAAAGAUGAAUUUUUAUAUUUGAUUAUAAAAUGACAGAAUAUUUGAUAAAAUAUUAUAUGAGGAUGUAGUUGCCUCUAACAAUCUUUUGAUCUUUUAUUCACACGAUGAAAAUAAGGGGACAAUGUUGAUAAGUAGAUAAGAUUUCCUCAAGGCAGUUGAGGAAAUCUCUAAGUAGUUGAGAAAAAUCCUCCCAACUGAAUGUGUAUAACCUCCGUGCUGAGUGUGUAUAAAUAGCUAUCAAGAGCUCACUAUCAAAUGUAUUAGCCAAUUACAUCUUAUACAUUUCAUAGUUUCUUUUAUAAUUUCUAUCUGUCGUCUUCUCGCUGUUUGACUCCUCACAACUGCUUCCCGACCGGAGUCCACCGCCUCCCCUUGGGUCACAACCGCAGCCGCUCUACCAUCCCUCUCGUGGCGAUGUCUCCACCCCUCAGCCGUAGCCAUUCACUGCAGCCUACUGCAGCACUUGCGGUUGCUAAUAUCAGAUCCGUGGGCAACGCUCCUAAAGGAAGCACAAUCACGACCUUUGUUUCUACCGCCGGCUGCUGCUCCCUUGCCAACCGAAGUCUUCCGCUGACAACUCCGUCGCUCUUCCGGCCACCAAACUCCAACACUGCAUUACUGCAACUAUCUCCAACCUUGCAGAUUUCUCCAGCAUCGCUGCAGAAAUCGCUGCAAGCUGCAGAGAUUUCUCCCACCUCGCUGCAACAAUCUCUCCUGCAUUCUGCAUCGCGCUGCAGCCUCCUCUGCAGUUCAUCACUGUAGCUUCAUCACUGUAGCCUCCUCUACAGCGCAUUGAUCUGCUUUUCUCCUCCUCUCUCCCUCCUAUAUCUUUUAUUAUUUAAACCGCCACAAAAUAUCUGGGAUGUCUUCAUUUUCCCCUUCCGAUAUUCCUAUCCCUGUUUCUGUAGGAAUUCUGAGUACUUCUCAAAGUUUUAUCACCAUCAAUGCUACAGCACUCAUUCCCUUCAAAUUAUCCAAAGGCGGUAAUUACGCAUCUUGGCGGGCACAACUUUCUAAUCUUCUAUUUGGUUAUGAUCUCCUAGGUUACAUUGAUGGCUCUCUCCCGUGUCCACCUGACAUGGUCAACAUCCCAGGCGAACCCAGUCCAGUGCCAAAUCCAGCCCACAAACUAUGGUUACGUCAAGAUCGCCUCAUCCUCCAAGCUAUUCAAGCUUCCGUUGCUGGAUCCGUUGCCCCGCUGAUAUCCUCAUGUACGACUGCUGUAGAAGCAUGGUGCAAGUUACAAACAACUUUGGCAAAUCGCUCACGUACUCGUAUGCUCGGACUUCUCUCCAAUCUGAUGAAAACAAAAUAAGAGGGAAGUACUAUUGCUGAUUAUCUACAAACUAUCAAAGUUAUCAUCGAUGACUUGGCUUUGAUAGGUCAUUCUCUCAGUGAUGAAGAAGUCCUAAUCCAUACCCUCAAUGGCCUAGGAGGUGAGUACAAAGAACUGGCAGCAGCUCUUCGGGCACGCGACUCACCAAUAUUAUUCGAAGAACUUUAUGAUAAGUUGAUCGACUAUGAGACAUAUUUGAAGCGUGAUGAUAUGUUACUCGGACCACCUAUUACAGCUCAGGUCAAUCAAAAAUCCAAGAGGAAGAAUAACCAGUACAAUAAGCACGUCAACAACAGUCUGGCUAAGCUGCCUCCCAGCCCUAUGGCGCCCAGACCAAACCCCCCUCAUCCAUAUCAAGGUGGUAACUUUCAUAAUCCUCAGUCGUCGCGUCCUGACUUCACAAGCCACCAACGAAUUGUUUGCCAACUAUGUGAUAAAGUCGUACACUCUGUGAAAGUUUGACGAUCUCGCCCCAGGCUCCCUGCUCCAUCACAGUGGCCUCAGGCGAAUUUCAUGGCUACUCCAACUCCUACCCAACCUAAUUGGAUUGUGGACUCGGGCGCCUCUCAUCACAUCACCUCUGAUCUUCAAAACUUGUCCAUCCACAACAACUAUGACGGAAAUGAAGAUAUCAUCAUCGGUGACGGUAAAAGAAUUCCUAUUACUCAUUCUGGUUCCUCAACGCUUAGUUCACUUACCACAACUUUUACACUCGAUGAUGUUUUGUGUGCACCUAACAUUAAAAGAAACCUCAUUUCUGUUUCUCAAUUCUGUAAACAAAAUAAUACUUCAAUUGAAUUCUUUCCUAACUUUUUUCUUGUCAAGGAUUUGAGCACGGGGGCAUCCUUGGUUCAGGGCCAGAACAAAGAUAACAUUUAUGAGUGGCCAUCCGCUUCGCAAAUUACCCUUCCUACUGCUCACUCUUCAGUCGCAGCUCCGGUUGAUGUAUGGCAUCGUCGUCUUGGUCAUCCCUCCCCUUUUAUCCAGCAAAAAUUACUUUCUCGUUAUUCUCUUCCUACCUUGAAAAUCAAUAGCACUGUCAGUCAUUGCGAUGCUUGUCUUUGCAAUAAAAGUCAUAAACUGCCUUUUGGGACAACCUUUAUUUCUUGCUCUAAACCAUUUGAAAUCAUUUAUACUGACGUAUGGGGCCCUGCCCCAAUUCCUUCUUUUGACAAGUUUCGUUUUUUAUGUCAUUUUUAUAGAUUAUUUUACUAAGUACACAUGGUUAUAUCCUCUCCACCAUAAGUCUGAUGUUUCCAUAGUAUUUACCAACUUUCGAAAGUUGGUCGAAAAUUUUUUUCAAUCUUCCAUUAAAACGGUUUACUCUUAUGGCGGAGGCGAAUAUCAAGCCCUCACAUCUUGUCUCUCUGCUUGUGGUAUACAACACCUCAAGUCACCUCCACAUACUCCCCAAUUGGUUGGCUCUGCCGAACGCAAACAUCGGCAUAUUGUUGAAACUGGUCUCUCCCUUCUACAUCAAGCAUCCAUGCCACCACCUUUUUGGUCAAUAGUCUUUCAAACUGCAGUUUAUCUCAUUAAUCGUAUGCUCACUCCAGUCUUACAAUACAAGUCACCAUUUGAAAAAUUAUUCCACAAGCUUCCUAACCUUCAUAAACUCAAAGUUUUUGGUUGUUUAUGUUAUCCAUGGCUCCGUCCCUAUGCGUCACAUAAGUUAACACCACGAUCUAAGCCUUGCACUUUUAUAGGCUACUUCCUUGAACAUAAUGCUUUUCGAUGUUAUGAACCCCAAACUAAAAAAAUCUUUAUAUCACGUCAUGUUAUUUUUGAGGAGUCUGUCUUUCCUUUUCAAAAUAAUCCUACCAUGCAAGCUACUCCGAUAAACAUACAUCACUGGAAUAUCCCUCCGAUCUCUUCACACGAACCUCCAAUGACACAGUCCAGUCCUUACCCUCAAGAUCCGCAUACUACUAUUACUCCUGUUCAACAGCUUCUCACUCCCUCUAUUUCUCCACUUCCUUCCUCACAAGUUUCCCCUAUUAAUGAGGUAAUACCCUCGGCAAUAUUGCCACUAGCUUUACCUUCUCCUAGACCUAGUGAUAUUGUUGUGCCGACGGUUGGCCCGGUCCAUGACAAUGACUCGCCCUCGGCUAUACCACCAACACAAUCUACCACUUCCAUUCCCCCUAGACAUCCAAUGACAACACGCUCCAAGAGUGGUAUUUUCAAACCACGUCAGGUCCUUGACUUACAUGCUAUAACAAGUUCCUCCACUGAGGUUAGUGAACCCACUACAAUCACUCAAGCCCAAAAAUCUUCUCAUUGGCGUAAAGCCAUGUGUGACGAAUAUGAUGCUCUCCUCCACAACUCUACAUGGACCUUAGUACCCUUUCAUCACACACAAAAUAUCAUCGGGUGUAAAUGGGUCUUUUGAAUUAAGCGGAACCCAGACGGAUCUGUUGCCAGAUAUAAAGCAUGUCUAGUCGCCAAAGGGUUUCAUCAACGACCUGGUGUCGACUUUACAGAGACAUUUAGUCCCGUUGUUAAACCCACAACAAUCCGUCUUAUAUUGAGUUUGGCCAUCUCAAAGGGCUGUCACAUACGACAAUUGGAUGUUAACAAUGCCUUUUUACAGGGGUCACUUACUGAAGAUGUCUUUAUGCUGCUACCUCCUGGUUUCGUUCAUCCUCAAUAUCCGAGGCAUGUCUGCAAACUUCAAAAAGCUAUUUAUGGACUUCGUCAAGCUCCAAGGGCUUGGUAUAACGAGCUUGGCUCGUUUUUGACCUCAAUUGGCUUCAUCAAUUCCAAGUCUGAUACCUCGUUAUUCAUUUGCCAGCAGAAUGGAAGCAUAAUAUAUCUUUUAGUAUAUGUGGAUGAUAUUAUUGUCACAGGAAAUGAUCCUUUGAAGACUCAAGCAUUUCUAAAGCGCUUGGCCGAUCACUUCUCCCUCAAAGAUCUAGGAACUUUAAGCUACUUUCUAGGAGUGGAAGCAACAUUUACAUCUUCAGGUCUCUUCCUAUCACAAAGAAAGUAUAUUCAAGAUUUAUUAUCAAAGACAAAUAUGCAGGAUGCGAAAGAGGUUACAACUCCUCUCUCUACUAGUGAAUCACUUAAAUUAUGUGAUGGAAGUCCUGCUACAGAUUCGACUCAAUAUCGACAAGUCCUUGGCUCCUUACAGUACUUGGCUCUCACGUAUCCAGAUAUUUCAUUUGCCGUCAAUAAAUUAUCACAAUUCAUGCAUCGACCAUCUACUAUGCAUUGGUUUGCGGUCAAACGAAUUUUGCAAUAUCUUAAAGGGACUCUUAAUUAUGGCAUUUUUCUUCGCAAAAAUACUUCACUCCAUCUCCAUGCCUUUACUGAUGCUGAUUGGGCAGGGAACUUUGAUGAUAGAACAUCUACGUCAGGAUACAUUGUCUUCCUUGGAGCCACUCCAAUCAGUUGGAGUUCUAAAAAACAAAAGACGGUUGCACGAUCUACAACUGAAGCUGAAUACCGUGCCAUCGCCACCACCGUUGCUGAACUCAAUUGGGUCACAAAUCUGCUCAAGGAACUCAACGUCAACUCCAUGGUUAUUCCUACAAUAUAUUGUGAUAAUAUUGGCGCUACCUACUUAUGUGCCAAUCCAGUGUUCCAUUCCCGCAUGAAACACAUUGCCAUCGACUUCCACUUCGUGCGAGAUCAAGUUGUCAGACAUCAACUCCGUGUUUCUCACGUACAUCAGCUGAAAAAUCCUCCCUACUGUACGUGUAUAACCUCCCUGCUGAGUGUGUAUAAAUAGCUAUCAAGAGCUCACUAUCAAAUGUAUUAGCCAAUUACAUCUUAUACAUAUCAUAGUUUCUUUUACAAUUUCUAUCUUUCUAUCUUCUUCGUUUAAUUCUUAUCAAAUCUACGGAGAGUGACUUUUGUCUUUUUCUUUUAAUCUAGAUACUAUAAAGAAAUCAUGUAUCGGAUAACAAUUGAUAUUCUUCCUAUCACUCUACACCUUCGUUUUAGCAUAUUAUCCCAAACUUAUAUGACAUUUACGUUCUCACAUCAAUUUAACAACGCUCGGGAAGCAUUAAAUAUUGAGGUCUAUCCUCUCUCUCUCUCUCUCUCUCUCUCUCCAUUAGGAUUAGGAAAUGAAAUAUGAAAAUUAUGAUGUCAUAAUAGGGCAUUGUUGAAAGGCUUAAACCACCUAAAUUCAAAAGAGAAAGAAUAUAUUCAAUUAAUCGAUCCAAAUGCUUAAGCCAUCCUAAAUUUGUUGAAAACGCUGAGACUUGAUUUAAAUGAAUUUUGGAUUUGCUAAGAUAAUCGUGCAACAUAUAUUUAUAUCGUAUCCCAUCCCAUCCGAGUUUGGAAACAUAUACUUCGAAAUAUGAUUAUUUGAAGCUUUGCAAUUUUUGCCAAAAUAAAACAAGAGAAGAGUGUGUUUAUAUUUAUGAGCCGAAAAUUAAAAACAAGAAAUGUAUAUCUUAUUGAUCUUAACUCGGAAAUAUUUGUACCCGAAGAAAUCUGGCUUGUGCUCUUGGACCUCCAAUUACUAGUUGACUCCAUUGCAUCAUCCUUAGGUCUCUUAUAUAGGAGGUGAGAGGCAUCAUGAGAUGCCACUAGUGAUUAUAUUUAGUGAAACUUGUGUUGCUACAUCUUAUUUAUCGGUUAAGCUUCAUCUGCUUAUAUUUGCACAAAUCUCAAAUCAUCAUUCGGUGACACCACAUCAAUUACUAGAGAUGACGAAGCAUUUGUAGGAUAUUCCACAUCAACAAAGCAUAAAAAGGAAAUAUUUCUUCAUUAAACUGAUAGAUACAUAUUAACUUGAUCGUUAAAAAAAAAUUUUGAUUGUGUUUGAAAGAAUAUUUAUAUUUUUUACAUGUAUUUUGAGAAAAGGAUUUGAAUGAAUACGCAAAAAUGAAAAGCUACUAUUUGAUAAACAAUAGAUGAAGACUAUAUUUUAAAUGUGCAGUAAUAUAAGUAUUAUUUGGUAAAAUUAUAUUUCAAAAGUCCAAUUUAUCUUUUCAAAUAUUUUUAAUAUUUAUUCAAAAUGAAAUUAAUGUUUUUAUUUAAAUUAAUAAGUAAAUAAAUUAAAUAAAUGUAUGUAUGUAAUCUUAUUUAAAAAAAAUUGUAUGGCGUAGCCCAAAGACUCUCUCUCUCUCUCUCUCUCUCUCUCUCUCUCGACUUUAAAUUAGUCUCACGAGGGGCUCUCAGUGAUGAGGGCUUAGCCCAAGACAGUUUAAAUAUAAUAUUGCAUAUUUAAUUCUUGCGAUAUCCAAAUGGCAAAUGGCGAAUAAAUAUAUGAACAUAACAUUCUUGCUUGAUCGUCAUGUUUGUCAUCAAAUCUCAAAUUUAUUCCCUUUUUUCAGGCAGUAUCUGAUCAGAUAAUAAUGAAUUAUGUAUUUCAUAUUCCUUCUCACGAGAACCUCAUGAAUAUUCGUCUAUUACGUACGUAUGCUUGAACAACGCUAUUCUUCAACAUACUUCAUUUGCGAGUUAUAGUAUAUCAUAUAAGUUUACUUAACUCACCAUAACCUUUCAAAAAAAAAAAAAAAAGUAAAUAUAGAUAGUGAUUUCAUUAUUAUUAUUUUUUUCCAUAAAAGUGAUUUUAGGAGUUUGUUGUGUUUUCAUAUUAAUUAAGCAUAACACAUUUCAUUUAUAAGUGUAACAUAAUAGGGUUCAUCCAAAUCACCUAAAUAUUUUUCAAUAUAGCAGGAAAAUAUGAUAUAAAAAGUGAUUCAAUCAGUUAAUAUAUUUUUAGAUGAUGUUAGGAAAUUUUAAGUUGAAUUCGGGUGGAUUCACUUUCAAACCUCGUAAUAAUCCUUUUGCUGUCUUUAUGGACGCCUACCAGUAAAUUCUGAAAGGAGGAUCACUCUUUGAUUAAAAACUAAUUGUGAAUAAUAUAUAUAUAUAUAUAUAUAUAUAUAUAUAUAUAUCAUUUAUUUAUGCAUGAAGAAAUGAUGAAAAGGCUCUUUUAAUGCAAUGUGAUAUGACUGCAGUGUGUCUUCCUCAAUGCUCUAAAAAAAAAAACAAAACAAAAGUGUCUUUGCCGUGCAAUUAUUGCAUGUAGUGAUUUCAGUAUCUACUUCUCCUAACUACAAUUCUUUCAUCUUUAGCCGCAUGACUUGGGUUGAUGCAGCUGCGUCAUAUGACCAUAGCUUCAGAUCACGUGACUGACAAGCAUCUCGUGGCUUCUCCCUUUUGUUCUUCCAUCAUACCUCUCUCACAUUCCUUCCUUCCAACGACACUGUCAUCAUGUCCUUUUCUCUCUCUCUCUCGAUCUCGAUCUCGAUCUCCAUGGCUGAAGAAUUGUUGACAAUUUCAUGUGAUCAAAUAUGCAUGCCACAUGCCAUUCACCUGUUUCUCUUCUCCUCCUCAUUCUCGGAUGAGUGAAAGGUGUCUAUCAGCCACUUUCCUCUCUCUUUCUCUUACUCUCACUCUCUUCUCAUCUCCAUGCAUGGCAGUAGAAAUGUCGAUAAUGUCAUGUGACCAAAUGUGCAUACCAUAUACCAUCCACCUCUCUCUUCUCUCUAUCUUGUUCUCUCACAUCCAUGGCUGGAAAAGUGCCAAUUCCUGAUACUAUCCACAUAUCUCUCUCUCUCUCUCUCUCUCUCUCUCUCUCUNNNNNNNNNNNNNNNNNNNNNNNNNNNNNNNNNNNNNNNNNNNNNNNNNNNNNNNNNNNNNNNNNNNNNNNNNNNNNNNNNNNNNNNNNNNNNNNNNNNNNNNNNNNNNNNNNNNNNNNNNNNNNNNNNNNNNNNNNNNNNNNNNNNNNNNNNNNNNNNNNNNNNNNNNNNNNNNNNNNNNNNNNNNNNNNNNNNNNNNNNNNNNNNNNNNNNNNNNNNNNNNNNNNNNNNNNNNNNNNNNNNNNNNNNNNNNNNNNNNNNNNNNNNNNNNNNNNNNNNNNNNNNNNNNNNNNNNNNNNNNNNNNNNNNNNNNNNNNNNNNNNNNNNNNNNNNNNNNNNNNNNNNNNNNNNNNNNNNNNNNNNNUACUACUACUACUACUACUACUACUACUACCUACCUACUCUCUCUCUCUCUCUCUCUCUCUCUCUCUCUCUCUCUCUCUCUCUCUCUCUCAAAAAUCCAAGCUAACUCUCUCUUGCUUUUCCAAGCAACAAGCAAUAGCAGGACUUUUGCAUGUGGGGGCAAGAACCUAAGAGGACAUAAAGGGUGAGGUUCCACCAAGCUUUUCCUGCUGCUGCUUGGGCAAGUUUUGUGGACCUUCACCUAAAGCAACAAAGGCACAUGUGUGUGACAACAAUGGGGUUCCUUCCCCACCACACAGCAAUGCAGAUCCUUGGGCCACUGCUUGUUCCUCCUCCUUUGUGACUUUUAGGAACAAAGACCAUUAGUUGAGACAAUUAUCUUCCACAUGAAUAAUAUUUCUUGGCUCUAUCAUUGCUCAACAAAAAGAAAGCAGCAGAAAUAUCAAUCAACACGAUAUAUUCAAAAAACUGUAAUGGUUUUGAUAUGUAAAUUGCAUACGAUUUAUGAUUAAAGGUUCAGAAAGGAUUACCAAAGGCUUCAUUAGUCAAAUGUUAUUGAUGCAGAAAAUAAAUAAACAUAUUAUUUUCUAUAUAAAAAUAAUAAUAAAACAACUUAUUGUUUAAAUUCAUUAAUAUAUUUUUUGUGAAGAAUAUAAAUGAAGUAGGAAAAAACAAAAACAAGGAACAGUAUGAACUUCGAUCUUUAAUACCAAAGUAUACUAUCUGAUGGGACAGUUUGCUGUCUGCAAAAGCUGUGUUCUUUAGCAUCCUUGACAAAGAUUUGACCCAAGCACAUACCUAUCGAGUGCAAUAUCUUCAUGUUCUUGUUCAGAGCCGACAGGAGAAGUAAUUUCUGGUGCUACAAUUAUAUGUACUUCCAGGCUCGUAGCUUGUUCCUGCAAAAGUCCACCUCCAACCUCACAAAAAUUGGAGGAAAAAUUCCACCGCAGUUCGAUUAAUUGAUCCUAAACACUAAUAUAGACAAAUUCAAAGGGAUUAAGAACGAACGAAACGUAUGACUUGAUCAUGUACCAUUUACUCGUAAUAAUAUUAUAUAAAAAAAAUUAAUUGACAUAGUAAUAUUCAGGGAUCUGACAAUUUAACAUGCCAUCAGAGUGGAAGGCUUUAUGUUCAAUUCUUUGAUGGAUUGGCGAUGAUUAAAUGUUUCAAUAAAAAGUGAAUCUUUUGAAAGCUACAAAAAAAAAGAAUAAUUGAGUAGUUGUAUGGAAAACCAACACCAUUGGACAUAACCCAAAUCCCUAAAUUAUCUACAAACAACUAUUAUUCUUUUCCAGCAUAUUAUUUUCAUGCAUCGUUUUAGUGGUAGGCUCAAACUUAAUGAUAGAUUUUUUUUGUUAUUUUCAUGCAUCUCUAAAUUUUUGGUCUCUUUACAUAAUGCUCAUUACCUAGAUACUAGUAUCUCUAAAUUUUUGUUAUUUUCAUGCAUCUCUAAAUUUUUGGUCUCUUUACAUAAUGCUCAUUACCUAGAUACUAGUAUCUCUAAAAACAUGAAAUGUGUCUGUGUGUGUGUAUACUAUGAACUCAAAACUCAAAACUCAAUUCUUUGAAACCAAUAAAGAUCAGAUUUGUUAAGCAUAAUCUCGUGAUCAAAGGCUUUGAAGCGUGCAUGAUUUUCUUUUUGGCAUAUAAAUAGUGAUGCUUUCUAAUAUGUGCAUCAAGAAAGAUAAACAACACAUACCCAAAACUUUUAUUUCAAAUGGACCAAAAAUAGAGGAGCAUUGAACAAGAUAAGACUGUGUCCAAACAUCUAGUAAUGUUCAGAACAUAUUUAACGGCUUGGAUCACUAAAUGAAAUGAUCUAGAUCAUUGUUAAUAUGCACAAAUAUUAUUCGCACCAUUAAUCUUUUAUUGCAUCGCCGAUAAAGUACAAUAUGUUCAGAUUACAUAAAUUUUGAUUCUUUAAGCACCAUCAAUGAUGAUCAAAGUAGCUGAUCUUGAUUUCAGAAACAUUAAUCAAGUUUGAGUUGCUCGGGCCAAAACCUAAUUAUGUGAAAUACUGGUCUUUCAUGUGAACCAUGUGGUCCUACUUUUCUUCUUCACAGGGAGAGUCCCAUACAAUGACCUCCCAAAAGGCAGCAUUUGUCACAUCCACUUUGAUCCAGGAGGUGUGGGUGUGAAUUGUGUGAAGGGAAAGACUUAAAAGAUGUUUUGAGUGCCAUAAGAUUCCUUGCUUCCAUUGAUAGAUGUGACAAUUUGGACAACAAGAUGCCUACAGUUCAUCUCUCUUAUACUAACCGGGUCUGGAGGCAUAUGUUCCCUCUCUUUUUCCUCUUUCUCUUCAGACAGUGAAACCAGGAAAAGGGCACUAAAUAAGUUGUAGUUCCCCUUCAAAUUCAAAUUGCUAAGAUGGCAGGUGUGCUGUCUUAGCUUUGCAACUUGCUAUGUGGUGACAAUGAAGUCCCUUUAUUCUUCUUAUUUAUUCUUUCUUUAUAUUUCUUUUCUCGAAGAACCUAAUCAAAAUGCAGCAUCUACUGCUCAAGUUUUAGUACAGGAUAUAGUGACCUGGUCCGUCACAUCUCCAUUGUCUGCUGGUCUUAUGAGUCAGAUAGACCACAAUUUUAUGUCAUUAUCAUAUGUUCGUUCAUACGAUCAUAUUUAGGUGCAACCUUGAGACUUUAAUCCUGCUACUAAACCCCAAAGUAUACUUCUUAUUCAUGUCCUCAAUAGCCUCUAAUUAAAGGUUUAUUAUCCCCUAUAACUCAGUAAACUCAGCUGCUACUUAAUUAAUUCUUCUACCUGGAAAGCGUGCAGCUUAUUUCUAUUUUGCAUGAGACAUCUUUAGAUACAUGCUCUGAGAGAAGGACAACAUGAAGUGUCAAAUCCAAGUUUAGGGACCACAUUACAAUCUGGCAUUGAUUAGCAGAAUUUAGGAACACUUGUGAUCUAAAUUAGCAUUCAUCUUUUGUUAGACAUCAUAAAACGAAUGAAACCAGUGAUGCAUAAUCCAUGUCAUUGAGUUCAAAGCAGGCAUUGAUGUACUCCUUGUGCACCAUAAAUGCUCUUUGCACAGAGUUAAGAUGUCGAAGAGGAGGUAGCAGCAUUGUUUAGCAGUCCAGAGUCGUAUCAAAUUGAACUUUAAGAAUCUCUAUAUAUGUUUGUAAAUGUGGGUUUUGGAGGAACCUUUGAUCAGUCAUCCACUUCCAAUAAAAAAAAAAACAUUACAUGUACUAUGUAUGUUAGUUUGACCUCGAUACAAUCUAGGGUUUGGGAAAUUUAUUGUACAGUCAGUCAUAUGGACAUGAAUUGGUCCAAGAUUAGAAAGGAAUACUUGAGGGCACGAAGAGGGAUUAGAACUAGAAGGUUUGGAGUAAAGUGCUUUGAUCAUGGAAUUGAAUAUUUCGAUAUCGGAAGGCGAAAAAGGCUCCGAAAUCUUUGAACAGCUCCAUUGUCUAGACCUAACCGAGGGUCUUAAUCUCUCUGAUGUUGAUAUCAGUGGAUUUAGUCAGAAGAAGAAAAAGCCUGUGCAAGCCAAGAUCCAAUGGCAUCAAAUUAAUGUGUAGUUUUCUGGCAUGAAGAACCUUGAUUAUUGGUGAAAUGACAUCAUUCAAGGAAUGAAGCGAAACAUUAGUUUUAGAUAAAGCUUGUUUUAAAAUGACCUCUUAGGAGGUUUACAUCAGGCAAACUUGCAGGUUAAGUUACUUUUGAGAGAGGAUGAAUUGAAGUCAUCAGAUGUGGGUUGUUUUAGGCAUCCUCGCUGUUGCAGUACUAUAAUAGAGAAGAAGAAUUAGGAGCAGUGUGAGACUAAAAGGAGCCUAUAAAACAGCCUUGUGCAACUAUAUAUAUCUCUCUCUCUCUCUCUCUAACUUUCCUUUAUUCUUUUGAGCUUAUAGAAAUGAGUCAGUGUACGCUUGGUAGGAAGGUGAUGAGGUAACUUCUCAGGGUAAGGAGCCUCAAAGCCAUGCAUUACUUAAACCUGUUUUGACCAUAUAUUCCUUUAUAUCUCUCUUUAUUAAGAAAGCAGGAGAGAAGAGAUCCCAUUUGCCUUCCAUUCCACUUCCUUUUCCCUUGUCUAUCUUCCAUAUGUCCAUUUGUGCUUCGUAGAUAACAGCACAAGGAUGGAAGAAGACGGAGUCUUGUAAGCAGUGGAGCUUCUUCUUCCCACUUUUGGAACAAAACACCAUUUCCCAGCUUCAACUAUAAGCUGUGAGUGGCAAAGGCCGUGAUCAUAGGAUGUCACUGCAAGAGAUAGUCUCUGAGACCAACCCUACAGCCUCGCCCGAUCUAUCUUUACACAUCGGGCCUCCAUGCGUCGUCCCUUCUUCGCUCUCCAACGCAGACAGCGUCUCCCGAGUCUCUUCGGAGGCCAACAUCCAUCAGAGGUUUCGAGGACCGCCACCACAGGUUAACGACGAUCGCAAUCCUAAGUCUGGACUCGUUCAGCAAGGGUUUUCCUCCUUCCUUUCAUCAUCAUCAUCUUCUUCUAAUGGCUAUUCGAACAAUGUAUACCUGAUGGGUUCCUACUUGCAACCACCCAACGGGAGCCAACCUUCAGUCUCGUCUUACCAGUGGACGCCUCAGCUACCACCACCGACAUGGAUUGCAGGGUUAUACCGCCACCUCCCUUGUGGUGUAGGAUCUUUGUCGAGAUCAGGGUUUAUGCCGAGAUAUCCGACGAAGCGGAGCACGAGGGCGCCAAGGAUGCGGUGGACCAGCAGCCUGCAUGCUCGCUUUGUCCAUGCCGUCGAGCUCCUCGGCGGCCACGAGAGUAUGCCUCCUGAUCUUGCACCCACUAUUACCACCUUUGUGUAGUGUGAUCUUACAUUUUUUGUGCUUAUGACUGUUUGAUCUGUGCAUAUAUGUUGCUUUUGUGGUGGUUUGGCACCAGGAGCUACGCCAAAGUCGAUUCUGGAGCUCAUGGACGUGAAAGAUCUUACUCUCGCCCAUGUCAAGAGCCACUUGCAGGUAUUCUUUUUGAACUACCUUUCAUCUCUCUCUCUCUCUNNNNNNNNNNNNNNNNNNNNUACCUUACUAUCUCUCUCUCUCUCUCUCUCUCUCUCUCUCUCUCUCUCUCGUUGUGCAGAGUAGCCAAUUGAUGCAGUGAACGAGUAAAUGAAUGGGUGAACGCGUCGUGAGUUGGUUUCUCCACAGACAGGAAGACUGAGACAAAAAUAAGCUAUCAUUCCACAAUAAUAAGAAGAAGAUAUAAACAAUUCUCAACGGAAGCAUCAACCUCGUUGGUAAUCUAAUAAACAAAGGAAAACAAAGGACGAGAAGCUCUAAUUGUUUCAUGCGUAUAUGGAUUUUAGCUGAGUUCACCUGGAUCAUUUCCAUUCUCUCUCUCUCUCUCUCUCUCUCUCUCUCUACUGUAGUAGCAUCACUUCACUGCCAUCUUCCACUAAUUUUCCUCGCGCUCUCGGUCUCUCUUUAAUGGCCUUGGUGAACCUUUCCUCUUCUUUCUUUUUGUCCUUGCAGAUGUACAGAACUAUUAAGUCGACUGACAAGCCUGCAGCUUCCUCAGGUAAACUAUGUUGUUCACUACAUCUCUGUACUGAUCUGAUGGCUACAAGUAAUCUGUUCCAUCUUUUCUCAAGGCCAAUCUGAUGGCUCUGGUGAAGAAGAUUUGGUACCUGGUGACGGUCAUCUACCGAUAAUGGAUCACAAGGUCUCCGAUGCACCAAAGCAAGUCCAUCCUUUGGACUCUGACAUCGGAUGGAUCAACUCAUCCAGGUAAAGACGUACACAGACAAUCCUUCUCUCAGUGCGUACAGGUUUUUUCUUCAUCAGCAGAACAGAUUUCUUUGUUUCACUGAUGCUUUUAAGCUUAAUUAGGUUAGAAACAUCGGCUCCACCUCCAUUCAAAUUCUAUCAUGGCAGCUUUUACUUUUAUGUCUCCUUUUAUGCUCUGUGAUAUCUUGCAGGCAGAUUUAAAGCAAAAGACUCAUGAAAAACACCGAAUCCGCUAGCUAGUCGAAAAGUCGAUCAGAGCCCAUACUUUGUGAAUUAGGAUAUCAUGUUCUUUUUACAGUGAUGUUUAUGAUAAAAAGAAGAAUAAAAAAGCUGACAUCCUCUCACUAAGCGCUACUAAGUUGUUAAAGCAUGUCAUGUUUUUUUGGCUUCAUUCAUUUGCUUCUUAUGCAGCAUUUGAUUUGGGUUACGGAUGGAUUAAUUUGUUGAUUAGUGGUUUAACAAUAUUGGGUUAGAAAGUACCUUGUUCCUCCUGACCAUAUCAUGGGACUGACGCUGACACAAGGUCACAUAAGCUUCAACACACUGCAUGUUAGAGCCAACUCCUGUUCCAUUAUUCAUCAUCAUGGAUACCUAACAUAGGUUGUAUCUCGAUUACAUUAAUGCUCAAAAUCCUUGCUCUUAACUCUUUACACUACUUAUCAUACUUCAUCUGGUGCCUUCUAUACCCCUCAUUAAGACUGGCUAAAGAAGAAAGAGAGAAAGAAACACAGCAAAUAAGAUACAACAGUUCUAGGGUUUCGCUAUAUUGGAAUAAGACUACUACAACCUAAAAGGCAACUACAACAAACUUCUCUCCUCACGAUAGCAACCUUUUACAUAUUUUUAGAACUAUCUAAUAGAAAAGAAACACUUGCACUAGAAAAGAAAGACUCGUAGAUCUUUCUUUGAUACCUGGAUUGAAAGAUUUAGAGUCCAAAUGCAUGGCCAGUUUUCUGUUGAAACCGACCUUGUGAAUUCUGUAAAAUUGAGAUUUGUUCUUUGAUCUUGGGUUACUAAAUCUAUUGUAACUCUUUGUUGGAAACUUCGAUUCAUAUGAGACUUAUUCUAUCUGAAAGUAAGUUGAAAUAUCUUUCCAAUGAUACAUUUCUGAGUAAAUUGGAGCACGAUUGAUAGUUUGAAUCAUUUAUUCAAUGUGCCUCUUGAAUUCUACCAGAUAUCGAGCUUUGGUCGAUUUCGCAUAUUCUGGUUUCGUACCUUUGGAAAUUGAUAUCCUUUAGCUAUCUUAUUCAAUUGAGCUUUAUAUUACUGCUUUGAAUUCUUGUAUGCUCUCGUCCUUAAAAUUAUUUGCAUUCUUGAAAACUAUUGUGUAAUGUUUAUGCUAUAUCGUAUUGACUCAUAUAGGCACAUGUAUAUCUCAUUGUUCCGCAUUUGCUUUCGAUAUAUGCCUAUUCCAGUUUCAUUCCUUUGAACAUUGAAUUCAUCUAACCUUCUUAUUUGAAUUGAGUUAUAUGUGAUUGCUUGGAAUCCUUGAAUGCUCUUGCUUUCAUUUCCUUUUAAAUCUGAAUACAAUUGUGAAAGAUUAUUGCUUACUUCGCAUUGACUCGUAAAGGCACAUGUACGUUUUGUUGUUCCGCGUGUGCUUCCGAUAUGUGGUAGAUUUGCUGGCAUUCUUCUUCAUACGUAGUUGCAUAACAUGCCUUGCAACUUCAUGUAACAAUAUUGUAUCAUUUUCCUUGAUAUUCAUCUUAAAAAUCCUAAAAUCUCAUUCAAUGAAACUCAUUCGACCGACUUCUAUUAAAUUUCAGCAGACAAGAAUGGAUGCAAAUCAACUCAAAUGGCAUCAACUCUGCUGUGCUUCGAUCGACUUCUCUCUCAUCACAAAUUGAGGUACUUGUAACAUUUCAUUCUUAAUCGAUUCCAUUCAAAUGCAUGUCUCUAACUCUAUAUAUAUUGUACUUCUCAUUAAAAUUUGUAUCCGAUUCAUGUACAUCAAAUUUAGAAGAUGUGGGGAUGACAUUGUCGUAUUCUUACCUUGAACAGGAUGGUUAUUGUAGAUCAAGUAGCACAGAUGAUUCUUGUCAAGAACACCAAAUCCCUAGCUUGGAGUUCACCUUGGGGAGAUCAGAUUGGCAUUCAAAGUAGCAUGCAUGAGUUGCAUGCUUAAAGCCCCUGCAACAGCUGUUUAAAUUCUUUGAGACAUCUGAUUCAACAGGGAUGAGACAAAAGAGGUGCAUAUGAACAAUGAGAAGCUGAUCGAGCUACUUGCUUAUAUAUUGAGCAUUUGUUUUGGUUCUUUCUUUUCUACCUUGUUUGUACACGUUGUAAUAUUUUGUUAAUUCGUGUAGGUAUAUUAUUAUUCUUCUUCCUGUACCUAUAGAUGGAUUAUGCAACCAAGAUGGAAUUAGAUGUGAUGUAAGAAAUUAAAUAAAGUGUGAACAUUAUGGAGAAUGGCUAUGGUCCAUGUCUCUUAUUUUCUUACAUUUUUCUUUUCGAUUUCAUAGUUUUUCCCCCUACAAUAUUUCAGUACUUCCUCUUUAUAAUAUUUUCCUUUUGUUGUGAUAUUUUUAUUCGUAGGUUUCAGGAAACGACGUAGAUAAGAGAUGAAACUAUUGGAUAGCUCAUUUAAGUGUAGCAAAAUGUAGAACUCAAUUGUAUGUGUAUCCUAAACACUUUUGGGGCUUCUUUGUUAACCACGUCCCCUAUAUAAGUUGAUUAAUCAACAGCACAGUAUUUGAUACUAUGUGGUGGAGUUCAAGAAAAAAAAUUAAAUGAAUUUUUUAACACUAAUAGUGCGAGAAAUAGAAGAUAUUUCACCACUUUUUUUUUUUUUUUUUUAAAGCUUUUGUUAGAUUACCCUCCUAGAAUGUUAGAUCUCCUAAAAAAUCACUUUGGAUAAAUUUAAAUAAAAAACAAAUAAAAAAAUUUGAAAAGUAAUUAUCACUAGUAAAUUAUAUAACCUUUUGUAUUCAACUAAGAAUAUUAUAUAAAAAGUUAAUUGACAUAAUAAUAUUCAGGGAGUACCAUGAAGAAUUGGGAUAUUAAGAUUUGUUAAUAUUCAUUGUCAAAUGAUAUCGAAAGAAUUGUUUUUUACUCUCUCUCUCUCUCUCUCUCUCUCUCUUGUUACUAAUGAUGAGAGGCCCAUAAAGUCUUGGCACAAGACAUAAUAAAUAUAAUACAAAAGUGCCUUGACUAGAAAAAAAGAAAGAAAAAAAAAAAACAAAGGGAAGAAAGAAAGCAUACAAACAUAUAACUAAUGUAAUAUUUGUAGUCUCUAUAAAUUACAAAUAUAAAAACAUAAAGAUUCGAGCAGGAGGAUUCAUUAAGAAUGAUUCACUUUGGUAAGUACCAUACAAAUUUAGUCUUUUGGUGGAUCAAAAUGACAUUUUUCAUAUUAGAAAUGACUAGGUUUUAUAAUGUGAUGUUAAAUAUGCUUAUCAUCGUUUCUUAUUUCAUUAAAAAGUGAUCUCCGUCGCCUCUUCUCUAACCUGCUCCCAUUCUAAAUGACAAACACGCACCGCCCGCGCGUUCGGCCUCCUUGCUGAAUAGUUUAAGGAACACCACGUCGACGAGGCAGCUGACCAGGCACGUUAAACAGCUACCUACCCCGUCAUUCACACGGCGUUCUUACCUUACUUCUGGUGUGUCGUUUCUGUGGGUCCCCCACGUAACAGUUCCACGUCACGGGAUUAUCUGCUGGUGGCCGCCAAGUAUCCUAUUCUUACCCUUCGGGAGUUACGCGAACCAACUUCCGCGGCUUGGUCGGCUGAUGUGUUGUGUGGGACCCAGUAGAGCACCUGCUUCUGGCAACAACGUAUCCUUCUCUUACCCUUCGUGAGUUACCUAAACGGGAUUUGUCGUUUUCUGUGGGACCCAUUAUAUCAUCGAGGAGUCCGAAAACCGAAGUGCGCCACCCCCGUUUUACCUUGUCUGUGAUUCGUGCUCCACGCGGGACCCACUUGUACCAGCUCCACGUCUCGCGAUCACCCGGCGUUUUCAUCGCCAAAUAUGCUUUUCUUACCCUUCGCGGCUCCCCUCCACACGACUUUCCCAGCCCGUGGUUUGGUACCGUCCUUGGGUUGGUAAACCCCCAUCCCUCCACCAUCGCAUGAUAACUCUACGGGUCGACCGGUAACCUUUAUGAUUGGAUAACAUUCUCGUUGCCUACUACGGGUACGGGUCGGUCCUUCCCCCCUGCCUUCGUCCACCGCUCUCGUGUCUCCCGCCUGCACGCCACUUCCACCUCCUAUAAAACCUGGCCGACCCCGUCGACCAGCCCCACAUUCUCCACCGAAUCAGUACUUCCUUCCAUUGCCCUUGUCUCUCUUCUCUCGAUUUGUCAGAGCCAUGGCCGGCGUCGCGCUCGAGACCACGGCUCUGUCCCUCGUCCUCCUUGCCGUAGCGACGGUGAUGCCAGCCCUCCUCCCUUGCUCCGCGGAGCUGCCGCGGUUUGAGCGCCCGGCCAAGGCCGACGGGUCCCUCAGCCUCUUGGUUGUCGGAGACUGGGGAAGGAAAGGGCAAUUCAAUCAAUCGCAAGUCGCGGCUCAGGCAAACCUCGUCUUCUCAGCUUUUUUUUUUGUUCGUCUCCAAUAUCUUAAAAAAUGCCAUUCUCUUCAUAGUUCGAUCGCCCCUUUCACAAAACAAACCAAAAGAUCCCUUUUCGCCCCCUACCUUCCCUCAAAGAAUCUACUUUUCAGAGUAGUUUAUUUCUAUUUUGCCUUCCAAGUGAAGAAAGAUGAGAUGGAAAGGUCUCAUUAUGUCGAACAAGGUAAUGGCAAUUGGGGAGGAUCGAAAUUUUAGCUGGUGGAAGUCCAUUUUGUUGAUUGUUCAUGGAAUGUGCCCUUCUAGUUCAGUAAUGGAUCAUUUCAAGCUUAACUUGUUCGCAUGGUAAAAGAUGUUGCAGGUUAUAAUUCAUUUGUUUACAAGGCCAUUUUAUGUGUAUGUAUAUGUACGUAGAUGGGAAAGAUCGGAGAGGAGAUGGAUAUAGAUUUGGUCAUAUCCACCGGAGAUAAUUUCUAUGAUAAUGGCCUCAAAGAUGUCCGAGAUAAGGCAUUUGAGGAGUCAUUCACCAACGUAUACACUGCAAAGAGCCUGCAAAAGCAAUGGUACAGCGGUAAGCCAAUCAGAUGGAUAACAAUGUGUUCAUUCUGCUUUACCUAUUUGAUCAAUCUUUUCUGGUGUGUGUUUCUAGUUUUGGGCAAUCAUGACUACAGUGGUGAUGUGUUAGCAGAGUUGAGCCCUCUUCUCCAAAAGAUCGAUAGCCGAUGGCUUUGCUUGAGAUCCUUCAUCCUUAAUGCAGGUGAAAUUUGUUCGGCCUCACGACUAUUUGAUCCUAGUAUCUUUCUCAUGGUUGUUUCUGUGUGGCCAGAAAUUGUGGACUUCUUCUUUGUGGACACCACUCCCUUUGUGGAAUCUUAUUGGACCAACCCAGAGAAUGAUCACUAUGACUGGAGAGAUGUGGCACCUCGUGAAACAUACAUCUCAGAUCUCUUAAAGGUGUAUUUGCAUGCAUCUUCAAGCAUCCUAUUUAGUCAAAUAUAUGAGGAAGUUUAAUGGCGAAGAACACAAGACUAAACAAUCUUAUUGUCAUUAGGAUUUGGAUGCUGCACUGGAAGCAUCUACGGCACCAUGGAAGAUUGUUGUUGGACACCAUACGAUGAGAAGUGCCAGUCAUCAUGGAGACACAGCUGAGCUUCUCAGUUUGCUUCUGCCGAUUCUUAAGGUAAUCCAAUUCCUAGACCUUGUGCAAAGGACAACUUCUUGGUUAUCCAGAUCUUGAUCCUGAUAAAGCCACAGGCAAAUGGUGUUGAUCUAUACAUCAAUGGACAUGAUCAUUGCCUGCAGCACAUCAGCAGCAAUGACAGGUGAAGUAUCUGCUGGAUUUUCGAUACGGAUUGUUUUUGGAGAUUCCAUCAAUCUGAAAAUAAUUCUUCAUUGGCAGUAAAAUCCAGUAUCUGACAAGCGGCGGCGGUUCGAUGGCAUGGAGAGGAGUCUUCACUCCAACCUCCGACAAGCUUCGAUUCUUCUACGAUGGUCAAGGUUUCAUGUCGCUGCAGCUAACAAGGACAGCUGCUGACAUUGUGUUCUACGAUGUGUUUGGCCAUGUUCUUCAUGAAUGGAGUGCGAGCAAACACCUCCACCCUGCAGUGUAGGACAUGACAAGAUUUGCGUGGGUCACUCGUGGAUAUGUUGCCAUUGAAGAAGUUAGGAUUGGGAUGCCUCUGCCCUUGGAAUUGGGUACCUUAAGCGUCUGCUAGUUAAGAUGAUACUGUGGCACUGUACAAGAGAGAAUUCAAGGAUCAUUCAUACAGUUAUACUGAAAGUUACAUGAUAAUGAAAAUUAUAUUGCCUAUGAUUGAUCUUCUGUGACUGUUUCCACUACAUUUGCCUUCAAUUUUGGUGUCCAAUCUUUCCUUUCCUUUUCCUGAACAGAAGAUGCUAGUUAUGCUUCUUGACUCUGAGGCACAAUGUGAGUCUUACAUAGGGACAAUAAGAGAAGAGAUUUCACUUGUAAGGUUGGUUUUUUCUCAGUCUCUUGCACAUCUAAGAGACCAUGAAGAUGAAGACAAAAAUGAGUCGAUAGCACAUUGGAUUUAAAGUCAAGCAGAGCAGCCAAAUAAAAGGGCACAUACAUGAAAGAAAGCUUAUGCAAGUAUAUGACAGCCGAUGUAGGCUGAUGAAAUUGUGAAAGAAAAUGCCCUGAGAUGAUACUUGUAUUCGUCUCAAUUGAAAAGACUAGCUAAGUUUGUAAUGCCAAAGAUAGAUUUGCUUGCAGUUGUAUUUGGUACCAAUCAACCAGAUGGAUCAGUAAUCCAAACAUGCAAGCCGAAUCCUAUCUCCAUCAGUGACUUCCUAUAAUGUGUUACGAUCGGAGCGGCACUAAGAGAGAGAGGGUCUUCAUCAGUGACUUCCUAUAAUGUGUUACGAUCGGAGCGGCACUAAGAGAGAGGGGAUGAAUUAGUGCAGUGGAUUAAAACUCGUAAGUUUGAAAACGAUUUCGUAAAUGCGUAGAGAUUUUGAUUCGACAAUGAAUGACUCGGUGAAAGUAGCUCGAGUAAAGUGAGAAGAUAAAAACCGAAAGCUUGCUGUUAUAUAAAUAACGGUUUAAGGAAGGUAAACACUCACACAUUCAAGGAACACACCAAUUUAAAGUGGUUCGGCCAAAAUAACCUACAUCCACUUACGAAGCCUUCUUUGAUGAGGCUCCCAACUUUCACUAGCAAAUCACUUUGAAGGGGAAGGACAAAUACUUCUCUUACAAUCUUUUACAAGUGGUUCACACUCUUACAGAUUUUCAAAGAGAAAGAGGGAGGUGAACACUUAAGCUAUUGACAACAAGACUUGCUAAAGACUUUGCUAAGGCUUUAUCUCAAUCUCUAACUUCUCAAAGGUUGUAUUCUCUGCUGAGAAUUGAGGGGUAUUUAUAAACCCUAAGAGGAUUCAAAUUUGGGUUCCAAAUUUUGAAUUCUCUUGGGUUCCCGAUGCUGGCGGUGCCACUGCUUGUUAGUGGCGGUGCCACCGCCUGUUAGUUUCUGACAGAUAGUGUAUUGGUGGUGCCACCGCCUAGUCUAGCGGUGCCACCGCUGGACCUCUUGGAUCCUGGGCGGUGCCAUCGGCCAGCCUAACGGUACCACCGCCCGACCCUAUGGGUCACUAGAUGGGCUUCAAAUCUGGCCCAAACUAGGUAAUAUCGGGCUCAGUUGGCCCCUAACCAGGAUAUAGGAUUAUCCCUUAAUCCUAACCAUAAUUAUAUGCAAACUACGUGACUGAAAAUAUAAUCCUAAGCAAGUUUUUAACCGGCAAACGUCGAGUCUCCUUUCGGCGAUCUUCCGACGGACUUCCGAUACACCCUUAGAUUUCUUCCGGUGGACUCCCAACGGGCUCCCGAUCUUGUGGCGAGUUCAGCGAGUAGCCAAGCCUUCUCGGUGAUCUCUGCGAACCUCCAACGAUCUCUUCGGCGGACUUCCGAAAACUCCAAUAAGUCCCCGAUUUCUUCUCGGUUGGUUUCGGCAGCAUCUCUGACGAAUCUUCGGACUCUCGAACACCCAUCGAACUUGACUCCAGUAGACUUGCUUUAUGUCUUCAAGCUAUCGUAGUUAAUCCUGCACAUGUAAAAUAAAAGUUCGAUCUAGAUAAUUACUCCUAAGCAAUUAAUUAAGUUGUCCGGCAUGUCAUUGGUCCCUCGACGCUUUGUCCGAUUAUUCGGCGCAUCAUCCUCUCUUGCGGCCUAUUGCCCAAUUGGCUAGUUGACUCUGCAACUCCGAUAUCCUUGGCACAAUACCCACUCUUCUUGGCCUGAUGCUCGAAUCCACGGCCCGAAGCCUUCUAUCGAUACGUCGACCGAUCCACCGGCCCGACGUCCAAUCUUCUGACAUGUUCCUCUGGCACAACAUGAUUUUCCUGCUUUAAUUGUCUCAUCCUGAUCGAAGCAUCCUACGUCACUCAAAACGCAGAUUAAAUCAUAAACACAUAGCAAGUGGUUUCAUCAUCAAAAUACGAGAUUCAACAAUCUCUCCUUUUUUAAUGAUGACAACCACUUGAUGACGGAGUUAACCUUAAUUCCCGAAGUUUAAACAAACUCCCCCUAUCAAUAUGCCAUAUUGAUAGAAUCUUGAAUUCAAGCCGAAUUCAAGUUAUUGUAAAUAUUCAUCAUGAAUAUUUACAAUACGUCAUCAUGCAUAACAUGAUCAUACUUCUCCCCCUUUGUCAUGAAUAAAAAAGAGAAGUGUCACUUUCUAUGUGUUUGAGAUAUAAAGUUCAAUACAUUGCAUGAAAAAAUAUAGUGUUAAAUUUUAUCAUCAUGCAAUCGAGCAAUUAAAGAUGUGCAAGUUUAGCAUGUUUGCUUUUCUUGAGAUAGCAACUGUUUACUUCUCUUUAGACUACCAGCUAGCAAUUUUUAUGAUAUGUAAGUUUUGCUACAUGCAAGCUAGCAAAAAAAAAAAAAUCAAAAGCAAAUGCAAGAUAGCUUUCUUGUGUAAGCUCAUGAUUAUUGCUUCCUAUUGCAAUGUGCAAGUUGUAAGUUUUUGAAAUAUCCAAGUUCAACACAUUGUAUAAUUAAUAUAAUCUCUUAGUUUUAUCAUCAUGCAAUUGUGCUAUUAUCAUCGAUAUGCAAGGUAGUAUGAUAGCAAUUACUACAACAUACAAGCUAGCAAAUUUUACAACACUUUUAGAACAUGCAAGCUAGCAGUUUUGAGAUGUUCAAGAAAGCAUCCCUUGCUUCUUGAAAUACACAAGUUUGCUAGAUGUGCAAGUUAGCAUGUUUUGAUUCUUGAGAUAGGUAAGAUUGCACAUUUGGUAUGCAAAUUUAUAGUAUGCAAGUUAUCAACUUUUACACAUAAAAAGUUAGCAAAAAGAUGUGCAAGAUGAAUUAUUUUGCCUCUUUUCAAAAUAUGUAACUCGGCACAUAUUGCUUCUUUGAGAUUUGCAAGAUAACACUUUUGCUUGAAACUACAAGAUAGUAUUUCUUGCUUUUGAGUUGAGCAAACUAAUAAGUUUUGUUCCUUUUUGCGAUAUGUACAUUUGUAAUUUUUGCUUCUCUUGUCUUGUGCAAGCUAGCUAUCUCCUCCUUUGUCAUUGUCAAAAAGAAGGAAAGACCCUUUACAUCAAUUUCUAAAUCAUGAUAAAGGUAAGUAUCAAUCUUAUUUGUUCAUCAUUAUAUUUUCAAAUUAAAAUAUGCACAACUUCAAAACUUUACAUUUGUAUCCUUACUUCAUGCAUUAUACAAAUAAAUUAAUCACUAUGGGUAUAUCAUAUAUGAUACAUCAUUUUGGUAAUAAAUCAUAGCAUUUAUCAAUAUUUUAAUCAUGAUACAAAGCAUUCAUCAUUUAGAGCAUUCAUGAUGCACAUUAUAUGCAUAUAUCAUCAUAAUAAAAAGUAAUUGCAUGCAUAAUUUUAAAUCAUAAAUAUUUUAAAUCAUGAUGAUAUUAAUUUAUCAAAUUGCAUCCUACCAUGCAUGAUCAAAACUUCUCCCCAUUUGUAUUUCAUGCAUAAUUUCAUUUCAUCACAUUAGGAGUAUCAAGAGAAAUUAAUUGGGUGAUGAGAUAAAUAUUUCAUGAAUACAUGGAAUUGUAUAAAAAAUCAUAUCAUAAGUGUUUCAUGCAUUCAUAUAUCACAUGAAGGAAUAUAAACAAAAAUUGGUGAUGAAACAUUACUUCAUGAAUGCAAUAAAAUUCAUAUAGCAUAUCAUGGUUUAUUAGAACUAGUCUUCUUUUUGGUGAAUAGAAAAAAUAGUAGGAGAGCAAGAUCUCAAUUCAUGCAUAUCAAAUAUUCAAUCAUCAAAAUCAUGAUUCAUCUAGAAAAUGCUCAUCUUUAAAUAUUCAAAGAGAGAUCUUAGGAGAUCAAAUAAUAAGAUAUUUUCAAAUAAAAUUUUAAGUUAAGAAUUAAGAAAAAAAGAUAUUCUCUUUAGUAAAUCACAAAAGAAAACGUAGGAGAAAAAAAUUUCAAUUUAUAUAUAAGAAGUCUUAUGAUUCAUAUUGAAAAUUUUCUCAAAAUGUAAGAGAAUAAAGAGUAAGAAAUCUUGAUUCAUAAAGGAUUUCAUGUUAUAAAUUUCAAGAGAUCAUAUCAUAAUUUCGAUAAAAAAUUAUUCAAAUUUAAAUAAUCAAAAUCAUUAUCAAAAUCCAAGAUAUUCACAAAGAUGAUACAAAUGGAUUCAUCAAAAUCAAUAAGAUAGAGCAAAAUAUUUUUCAAGAAGAAUGUUUUCCUCUUUUUGGUUGUUUCAAAACAUAUGAUUUUGUUUCAUUUAUGCCAAAUAAAAACAUGUAUCAUGUUUAAAACCGAAAGUGUAAGAUUUAUUAUAACAAAGAUCAAUAAGACACUUUCAUUAUGGUAAAAAUCAAUAAUCCGUAAAUCGCAAGAUUCAUCAUGCAUAAUUUCAAAAUUUAUUAAGCAUGAUCAUUAUGCAUGAUACUAAAACAUGGUUUCAAAAUGUUUAAUAUUUUCAUUACACAAUUUAAUCAUUAUGCAUUAUCAUAUUUUCAAAUUCGAACAUGCACAAUUUCAAAACUAUAUCUUUCAUUUUUCGAUACAAAUAACUCAAUCAUCAUUAUGAGCAUAUUAUAUAUGAUAUUCAAGCAUUCAUGAUACGUCAUUUUGGCAACAUAAUCAUAGCUUUUCAAAUGAUGGUAUCUAAAUGUCAAAGUUCAUUACAUCCUAUCAUGCAUGAUCAUUAACUUCUCAUUUGUAUUUCAUAUAUUAUUCAAAAUAUCAAGAGAAUUUUGGUGAUGAAAUAUACAUUUCAUGAAUGCAAGAAAUUUUACAUAAUAAAAUUCAAGUCAUAAAUUAGCAAGAUGUCGAGUAACAUAGGUUAAUUUGAAUAAUCAUUUUUAGUGAAUACCAAGAAGAAUCACAUCAUGAAAGAAUUUUGAUUCAUGGAAAAAUUUCAUGUAUCGAGAAAUCAAGAUGAUAAUUUAUAAAAAAAUUUUACAAGUUAUAUUGAAGAGAAAAAUAAUCAUUCAUUUUCAACUCAUUCAAUUUGUCAAAUCAAUUUCAUGAUUUUGAUAUAACUCAUUUCAAAUUCAAAUCAUCAAAUCAAAAUCAUUUUCAAGAGAUUCAUAUAAAUCAAUAAGAUAGAGAAAAAUAAUUUUCAAGAACAAUGCUUUUCUCUUUCUAGUUAUUUAAAUUCAUGUCAUUUAUUUCAUUUAUGCUAGAUAAAUAUGUGCAUCAAUAUUUAGGAUCGAAAAAUGAAUUUUAUCAUAAAAACCAUCAAUAUCAAUAAACCACAAAAAUUAUUAUGUAUAACUUUACAAUCUCAUGCAUAAAAUCAUCAAAUCAUAGUAUCAAAAUUUCAAUAUUUUCAUUCCAUCAUUUUGUAUUGGUUUCAUUGAACAUAAUUUUGAAUGAUUCUUACAUAUACUAAAACUUCUUUAGUUUUAAUUUAUGUGAUUGACUUUAUAUUAGCAUUCUCAAAUUUUGUUCUUAAGUCAAAACCAUACAUCAUGUUUGACAACCAAAGACAAAGUUCAAAAAAAAGAUCAUCAAGUCUUCUAUUCAAAAGCCAUGCAUCAUUAUUAAGCAUGAUAUUAAACUUCUCAAUAUUUUCAUUAAGACAUCAAGCAUGGUUUCAAUUAAAAUCGUAAAUCAUCAAAAUACACAUUCUUACUUCUCAAACACAUACAUAAUAUUUAUAUUUAAAAUUUUAUUAUAUUUUUAUUUUUAAAUAUUAAAUUAUUAAACAUAUAAUUUUUAAGAAAAUUAAUCCUAAACUAAAUUAAAAAUAACUCAUUAAAGUAUUAUGUAAUUUCAAAAUAAAUUAGGGGGAUUUCGAUUACCUCUUCGUUGAAAGCGGUUAAGGCGUAGUUUGCCACCUCGCCUUUCUAGAUUUUCUCCUCAUCUUCGGAGGAGCUCGAUUCAUCCCAAUUUGUGUUCUUCUUCUUGUGUUCAAAGCAAGUAGUUCCGUUCUUUUUGCUUUUUAAUUUUUGUUUCAUUUGUAGUUUAAGUUCACCAUCACUUGAGCUUAUGCUCGAGUGGUCUUCAUGUGUUCUAUGUCCCAAAUCCUUCAUGUCCUUUGGAAGGUUGUUCUCGAGUUCUCUUUUUGUCAUAUUAUUCAUUUCAUAAGUCAUUAAAGACCCAAUUAGUUCUUCGAGAGGAAAUGUCUUAAGGUCCUUGGCCUCUUGAAUGAUCGUAACUUUUGGAUCCCAACUUUUUGGAAGGGAUCUUAAGAUUUUAGUUACUAGUUCAAAGUUAGAAAAACUUUUACUAAGAGUUUUGAGUCCAUUGAUGACAUCCGUGAAAUGGGUGUACAUGUCUUCGAUGGACUCACUAUUCGGAAAAGUUCGUAAGAGUGCACAAGAAUGUUAAUUUUGGACUCUUUCACUCGGCUAGUGCCUUCAUGAGUGACCUUAAGAGUUCUCCAAAUAUCAAAAGCCGAAUCACAAAUCGAAACGCGAUUAAAUUCAUUUUUGUUAAGUGCACAAUAUAAGGUAUUCAUAGCCUUUGCGUUUAAAGAAGAAACUUUCUUCUCCAAUUCAUCGCAUUCACUCAUUGGAAGAGAAGAUUUUUGAAAUCCAUUUUUGACAAUAUUCCAAAGCUCGAGAUUCAAUGAAAGUAAGAAAACUCUCAUUCGAGUUUUCCAAUAAGUGUAGUCCAUCCCAUUGAAAAAGGAAGGACGAAUGAGAGAGUGACCCUCUUGAAAGCCAUAAAGAAUCAUUUCUAUUUGGGUGUUAAACCAAAGUAGAAAAUCGUGGCUCUAAUACAAAUUGUUAGGAUUGGAGCGGCACUAAGAGGGGGGGGUGUGAAUUAGUGCAGCGGAUUAAAACUCGUAAGUUUGAAAACGAUUUUAUAAAUACGUAGAGAUUUCGAUUCGACAAUGAAUGACUUGGUGAAAGUAGCUCGAAUAAAGUGAGAAGAUAAAAACCGAAAGCUUGCUGCUAUAGUAAUAAUGGUUUAAGAAAGGUAAACACUCACACAUUCAAGGAACACACCAAUAUGAAAACAAGACUUGCUAAAGACUUUACUAAGGCUUUAUCUUAAUCUCUAACUUCUUAAAGGUUGUAUUCUCUGUUGAGAAUUGAGGGGUAUUUAUAGACCAUAAGAGGAUUUAAAUUUGGGCUCCAAAUUUUGAAUUCUCUUGAGUUCCCGAUGCUGGCGGUGCCACCGCCUGUUAGUUUCUAAUAGACAGUGUACUGGCGGUGCCACCGCCCAGUCCGACGGUGCCACCGCCCAGUCCGACGGUGCCACCGCUAGACCUCUCGGAUCCUGGGCGGUGCCACCGCCCAGCCCGACGGUACCACCACCCAAUCCUCAGGUUCUGGGCGGUGCCACCGCUCGGUCCGGCGGUUCCACCGCCCGACCCUAUGGGUCACUAGAUAGGCUUCAAAUUUGGCCCAAAUUAGGUAAUAUUGGGCCCAGUUGGCCCCUAACCAGGAUAUAGUCCUAAGUAAGUUUUCAACCGGUAAACGUCGAGUCUCCUUCCGGUGAGCUUUCUGGCAAUCUUCCGGCGGACUUCCGAUACACCCUCGGAUUUCUUCCGGCGGGCGCCUAUCAGGCUCUUGAUCUUGUGGCGAGUUCAGUGAGUAGCCGAGCCUUUUCAGUGAUCUCCGCGAACCUCUGAUGAUCUCUUCGGCGGACUUCCGAAGACUCUGACAAAUCCCCGAUUUCUUCUUGGUUGGUUCCGGCAACAUCUCCGACGAAUCUUCAGACUCUCGAACACCCAUCGAACUUGACUCCGAUAGACUUGCUUUAUGUCUUCAAGCUAUCGUAGUUAAUCCUACAUAUGUAAAACACAAGUUCGAUCUAGACAAUUACUCCUAAGCAAUUAAUCAAGUUGUCCGGUAUGUCAUUGGUCCCUCGACGCUUCGUCUGAUUUUUCGAUGCAUUGUCCUUUCUUGCGGACUAUUGCCCAAUCGGCCAGUUGACUCCGCAACUUCGAUAUCCUUGGCGCAAUACCCGCUCUUCUUGGUCUGAUGCCUGAAUCCAUGGCCCGAAGCCUUCUGUCGAUACGUCGACCAAUCCACCGGCCUAAUGUCUAUUCUUCUGACAUGUUCCUCCGGCACAACAUGAUUUUUCUACUUUAAUUAUCUUAUCCUAAUCAAAAUAUCCUACGUCACUCAAAAUACAGAUUAAAUCAUAAACACAUAGUAAGUAAUUUUAUCACGUAAUGAACCUUCAAUACUUAAUGCAACCAAUCCUGUCUCUAUCACAUACUACUUUUAAGUAAUUAUAACGGCUUUAGAGGGUCAUAAAGUAUUCAUCAUUCCUCCACACUAGAAUAGUGCCUUAGGUACCACAGACAAAUGAUGGAAUGGAAAGGUGAAGCUUGUUUGUUACAUAUGUUGGAAUGGAAAACAAGGAACUGUUUGAAAAUAAAAAAAAUUGCAUUAGGAGAUCAUCAGGAUUUACAUAUAAUACAAUUUAUAAUUUACUCGGUAAAGAAUAUUAUUCUAUCCUUCGAGGCUAAUAGAAGUUUCCGGAACGAGGCACGAAGUAUUGGGCUGGAUUUGGGCUGUUAGGGCGUUCGAAUGGGAACCAACUCGGUGAUGCAAGCGAGCAUCGAGCUGCGUCGCGACGCCUUCACACCAAGAGCGGCCGCACUCUUUUGUCCUUCUCUCGCACGUCACCUUAUCUCGGCCUUCUUGCUUUCCGCCCAAACCCAGAGCGAAAGAAAUCACCUCCGCUUCGGAUCGCCUCCCCGUCCCCUCCCCUGCUUCGGGGUUUCGGGUCGGUUGGUACCUGAUCUCCAGUGGUAAGCCCUUACCUUCCUCUCUUCUCUUCUACAGGCAAUUUCAUCCCCAAAUAUCUGAUUGUUUGUAAUUACUUCCAAUUUCUUGAGGGUUUGUUGUUAGUGCUAGUGCUAUGGCCUGUUUUGUGGAUGUCCUGGAAUUAGUGUUUUCCUUCUUCUAUUUGACUCUUAGUCUUUUUCUUCAUCGAAGCCGUAACCCCUUUUUACCAAUGUCGUCAUUGAGUAGGCUGAGACGAUAUGACGGCGCAAGUGACUCGUGAAUGGACUGGAAUCCAGCAGUUUCCUGCUGCUACGCAGAACAAAUUGCAUGAAUUGUUAGGGAAAUUGAAGCAAGAGGUCUGCUUUAUUUUCUUUUGUUUGGAUACUUAGGAGUCCAUUUCAAUUAAUUUUGGUAUAAUACUUCUUUCUUUAGAAUGUGAGCACAUUGACAAUUCUGGUGAUGGGAAAGGGUGGAGUCGGGAAGUCAUCCACAGUCAACUCCAUUUUAGGGGAGAGGGUGGCUUCUGUCAGUGCUUUUCAGGUUUUCUACCCCAGAUUAGUGAAUUAUGGGCAUUAAAUUUUCUGGCCAAAAAAAAGUAUAUUUGUGAUGUGUUGUUAGUUGAUCAUUGCUUGUUGCAGUCGGAGGGGUUGAGACCCAUAAUGUGCUCCCGGACUCGAGCAGGAUUCACAUUGAACAUCAUAGACACUCCAGGGCUUGUGGAAGGUGGAUAUGUCAAUGAGCAGGCUAUUGAAAUUAUAAAAAGGUAUUUACGUCUAUUAAAAUUAUUUACUUGAAGAUCUAGUUGGUGUUUUAAUUAUGGUUUGUGUUUUGAACUGUUUAUUGAAAGUCACACUUUAAUGUUGAUUUGAGAAGAAGAGAUCUCAUGAAAUUAUUGGAAUGCUCCUAAGCUGCGAUGACAUUUUACAUUGCAUAGGUGCCAAAGGCAGAUGAAGUUGAAGGUCAUGAAAUAGUGUUCAAUUGAUAUGGCAUAAGAAUCAUAGCAUGUGACAUGCUUAUGUCUUAAAUAGUGAUUUAAAAAGAUGCUCGGGCGCUUGCCUAGGCACUCAAGGGAGGUGAGGCUCGACCACCUCGCGCAGAAGCCAGGCGACGUGCUUCAUUGAAGCAUCGCUUAGGCUGUCACCUGAACCCAGGCGUCGGGCACCUCGGGUGAGCGCCCGGUUGAAGGUGAGCAAUCGAACUAGAUGAUCAAAUCUGGUUCGAUUAAACAAUACCUAGUUGGUUUGAUUGAACCAAUUAAACAUUACAGUAAACCCUUUUGCACGAAACCCCCAAACUCUACUUUGUCACCCCAACUCACCUUUGGUUCGUCGCCGAUGCCUGUGCUCAAUCCACUAUCGCUGCUGUCGUCGUCCGAAGGUUCCUCCAUCAUCGUCGGCCUCUUCUGGUCCUACAUUUUACCGUUGAUGACUACUUCCUUACUACUGUUAUGACUACAUCUCAAGUGUUAGAGAAUUACAGACAUACAAGACAAAUGAUGAAGGCAAAAAUGAGUGCAAAAGUCUCAAGUUCAUCUCCUGCUAUUGUUGAAGAGGAGGAAACUUAUUUUGAUGAAAAUAGACGAGAGGAAGAGAAAUAUGAUAAUAAGUUUGAGAAUGACGAUGUUGAUUAUGAUGAUGAUUGAAUUUGAUGUAAAGUUUUAUUGUUUUAAGCCUUUUAACAUUUUUGUUAUUAGAAGAUGGAUAAUGUGACUUGGUACUUUAGAUCUUUUCAAUUUAAUAUCAUAUUUUUAUUUAUAUAAUUAUAUUUAUCAAUUAUAUAAUAUAUAUUUAUAUUUUAAUAUUUUAGAUUGUUUUGCUUCACUCGAGCGAGCGCCUAGCGUCUUGAGCGUUUUGGGAUCUUAGCGCUUUUUAGUGCCUAACGCUUUUAAAAACACUGGUCUUAAAGAAGUCUGCUGUCAGCAUUGGUGCUUGUAAUUGCGAAAAUGUCUUACCAAAGUAUAGAUAAUAAAGUAAAUAUUUGGGUUCCAUAAUUUAGUUGUGCAUCUACCAACAUGUUAGAUUUUUCCACUAGCUAUUUGUUAAUAUUGGCAAACAAUGACAUGUAGAUUCUAAUACCUUGAAGGACCUGUUAGCAGUACAAGUAUUAUUUAAAUGCAUAUAUAUAGUUCCAUUGUCUAGAAUCCUGAUUGCCCAACAACAGAUGAUGAAGUUAGCUACUUAGGUUCCAUAAUUUAGUUGAUCUUGUUAAAAGAUUUGAUAAGAUUGUUAGAAGGUUCUUCCUGCUAGGUUAUUGGCUUUUUGCAUGUUCAUUUUGCUUAUUAGCAUGUUUUGUUGUGGUUGUUAGCAUGUUUAGUCACUGGCUAGGUAUUACCAUCUCUAACAAAAAAUUCAUUUAUCCUAUGAUAAGACUAUAGAUGUUCUUCUAUAUGUGGACCCAUUGGAUGCGGAUAUGUUGAAUGUUCUGGAAAGGCAGGUCAUCAAAGUCUUCACUGGCACAUUUAGCAAAAGAAUAUGGCACAAAUCUUUGGUUGUUUUAACUCAUCACCAAUAGGACCACCAAAAUCAUGAUUAAAUGUGGACUUGAAAAAAGAGAAGAAGUCUCAGGAAGUGAUUAAAAUUCUUGUAAGUUGUGAUGACAUUUUAGAAUGUCUAGGUGACAAAGGCAGAUGGAAAUCAAGGGUCAUGAAACAGUGCUGAAAUAAUAUGGCAUUAGAACCAUAGCAUGUGACAUGCUAAUAUCUUGGAGAUGCCUGUUAUCAACAUAAGUAUUAAUCAAAUACAUAUGCAUCAUUAUAUUGUAAUUUUUCGUAAGUGCUGACGAAUAUAUCAUUUAAUUGUGUUUAUGUUUAAUAUUUUGAUAGCACAUAUUGUUAAAUUGUCUUAUAUUAUUGCUAGCUAUUUGUUAAUUUGUCAACGGAACCAUAACAUGUGGCUUUCUAAUAUCUUGAAAAAUCUGUUAACAGUAUAAAUAUAUUUUAAAUGCAUAUAUGUAUAUGUAUAGUUGCCACAGAGAAAAUGAUGUUAUUUGUGGCUAAUGAUUUAGUUGUUUAUUUUGUCAAAAAUAUUGAUAUGAUCAUUGGAAGGCCCUUCCUGCAUGGUUGUUGGCUUUUUGCAUGUCCAUUUUGGUUGUUAGCAUGUUUAAUCUCACUGGCUGGAUACUAUCAUCUCUAACAAAAAUUCCAGGUUUCUUCUGAACAAGACUAUAGAUGUUCUUCUAUAUGUGGACCGCUUGGAUGCAUAUAGGAUGGAUAGUUUGGAUAGGCAGGUCAUCAAAGCCAUCACCGACACAUUCAGCAAAAGAAUAUGGCAGAGAUCUUUGGUUGUUUUGACUCAUGCUCAGUUAUCUCCACCAGAUGGAUUGAACUAUGAUGAUUUCUUUGCCAAACGGUCAGAAGCACUUAUGAGAUAUGUUCGCUUGGGUGCUCGAAUCAGGAAACAGGAUUUUGAGGUAUGAAGUUCAUUCUCUUAUGUAUGAGAUUGUUGUUUUUCUUUUAUGUAUUUCCUGUUUACCCUUUCCUCCAUACUUUCUGUUGUAUGCUACCUUGAUAGUUAGUUUUACAAAAUUUUGCCUUCCUGAGGAAUAUUAGUGGAAAUGAGGCUUGUACAUGAUUUAUGGAUUUAUUCCUUCUUUGCAUUGUAAAGAUAACAGGCACGGUAAAGAUCACAGGCAUGGUAAACUAGGUGCAAUUUCUUUACUUUUUAAUUGUGCUUGACUUGAAAGUAUUUUACAGCUUUUUAGUCUCAUUUGAGAAAACUUUUGAUGUAUUGGUCAUCUUAUGUGGAUCCUUGGGCUAAGUGUACAGAAAUCAAUCAUUUGUUAUCUUAAAUUUAUAUUUUUCUGGAGAAAGAGGCUUAUGCAUUUAACAUUUGUUAACCAUUACAUUUAUAAUUAUUAUAUUCUUUAGCUUAUAAUCUAGCAAAUGUGAUAUAUUUGGUUAUUUAGUUAUUGUAGAUUGUUUUUUAUGUUUUCCAAUGUGAGCAGCCGUGUUGUCACGAACUUAGCUGGUUUUGCCUAAGUCGUGCGGCACCCUGGCGUGUCCGUCCGCAAAGGUCAGCCUCCUCGAAGCCUCCCAUAUCCCUUAGGACCCACAAAAGAGAGAACAUGUUAGAGAAAACGCCUCAUUCGGGAUCCACAAGCAAACAUUUCCGAAAACACUUCAUAGACAAUGCAAAUUACAAACAGACUUUACAAGCUCUGAACAGUUGCAUAACAAAGGGUAAAAUGGUUCAUUAUAGAUUGAAAAUCUCUCGUACGUGUCCACAUUGCACAACCUUUAUUUUACAAGCCUAAAGCGGCCACCAACCUAACUAAAAUGAGACUAUUAAGCCUUCGGCCGUCCCUCUACAUGUUGUGUAGAGCAUGAACAUACCAAAAGACACGGACAUACAUAAGCAUUACAUCAAACAUCAUGUUUAGAAGUUUGUCCGUGACAUUCUCCCCCACUUAUUCCUUCGACGUCCUCGUCGAAGCCUUUAUCGACACUGCAACUCCUCGCCUUUGCUGAGUCUUUAAUCUUCUGCUCCAGCUGCAAUGCGUCUCUUGGCUCCCAACUGCUCUCCGCUGCUGUUUUUGAGUAGUCGAACCUUUGAUCCGCCAUUCUGCUUUAACUCGCCAAUGACUCUGACUCUAGUGUGGGGUUGGCUGAGUUGUGUUGAUCCCUGUUGGUUCCUGCGGAUCCUCCAGAUGAAGGAAAAGACCAUCCUUACUACGCCAGUCUCUCAAAUGCCUCAUGUUGCUUGAACUGGGUGGAUGCUUGUUGGAGCUUUAACGAGCAUCGUCUCGUAAACUUAUGAAGUUUUGGGUCUUUCCUUCACAAAAUUUGCUCAUUGACUCUUCUUUCACUUAGUUGUCACAUCCAAGUAGGUUCGCAUCACUUCUGCUUUCGAUUGGCAUUUCGUUGGGAAAUGAAGCGGACAAUCUACUCUCAGUAACACUGAUCACCGUUGGUGAGGAUUUGACAACUAUUUUCUUCCAUUAUCUUCGAAGGGUCUUUGAACAUAUGCAGAGCUCCUCUGCUGGAUAGAUAAGAGAAUUGGGGUACUCGGUUUCACCCAUUCUCUUAAGAGUUGAGAAGGCAAAGGUUACUUGAUUUCGCCCGCCUCCUCGAGGUUGUACUCCAUGUAUCGAGCUGGUUACUGGCCUUCGCCUGCUCUUUGCUCACACUUCUGAAGCACUUGAAGUGUUUGCACUCCUUGCGUUGAGUUAGCUACUAUGAUUCACCUUCUCAAUGCCAUUGAACUUUUGGAAUGCAGGAAGUUUUUAUCCCAACUUGAAGUAAUUCUCUAAUAGAUUUGGUCGCCUCUGGGAUUGUACCGCCUUCUCUAUCAACCCUGCCGCCUACUCCCCUAAGUAGCAAAGGUACAGCACCGCGUACUACCUGCUUCGUUCCUUGGUCGUGCACUCUUGCAUGACCCGAAGUCCUUCACUUUCGGCUAUCUUGAUAAGAAGCUCGUUGACACCGGUCUUACGAAGUUCCUUGGCCUCUGCCCUUCAGCCUUGUCUCGGUACUUGGAGUUUGCCUCUACAUGCUCCACCUCCUCGGCCCCUUUCACGACCAAGC